CUGUCCCUGUCCCCAUCCUAGCCCUGUCCUGUCCCCAUUGUGUCCCCAUCCCUGUCCUUGUCGUGUCCCCAUCCCUCUCCCCUUCCCAUCCCUGUCCUGUCCCCAUUGUGUCCCCAUCUCUGUCCUUGUCGUGUCCCUGUCCUCUUCCCAUCGUGUCCCUGUCCCCAUCGCGUCCCCGCCGUGUCCCCGUCCCCUCCCGGCUGGGGCUGUGCGUCCUGGGGCCGGGCGGUGGCGGUGGCCCCGCGGCCACGGCCUGCCCCAGCGCCGCGGCGGUUAAUUAUUAUUAUUAUUAUUGUUAUUAUUAUUAUUAUUAUUAUUAUAAAUCCGCAUGUCGAAACCGAAGGGGGAACCCGCAGCGCGGCGUCGGCCUGGAGGCGGCCACCGACGGGGCCGGGCCGCCGCGGGGGGACGUGGGGACACGGAGGGGACGUGGAGACGUGGGGGAUGUGGGGACACGGGAGGACAUUUGGGACACGAGGCCGUGGGGGACCUGGGACAUAGGGACAUGGGGGCCACAGGGGGAACGGAGACAUGGGAGGAUGUUGGCGGCAUACAGGGACAUGGGGGGACAUUGGGGACAUGGGGACACGGAGGGGAUGGGGUAUGGGAGGACACAGGACACACGAGGGACAUGGGGCUAUCAGGGCCAUAGAAGGGACAUGGGGUGACACUGGGGACAUGGAGCCAUACAGGGACGUGGGACGGGGACACGGGGGGACAUGGGAAGGACGUGGGGGCAUACAGGGACACGAGGACACAGGGACAUGGGGGACAUAUGGGGACAGGGGAUGACACGCCACCACUCCGUGCCUCUUGGAGGGUGACGGGAUGUGGCCCCGAGCGUGUUAGUGCGUGUACACGAGUGCGCACACGCGUGUCGCAGGCGGGGGCGGCCACCCGGACGCCUGGGCCCCGUCCCCAGGGCGACAGCUCCGGGAGCCCAAGGUCAGGCGGCGUCACCGGGGCGACGCGGCCUUGGGGCGCCCGGACGCCUGGGUCCCCUCCCUGCACGGGGGCGGCCCCAGGGGCCGAGGCCACCGCAGGGGCCCAGACGCUGCUGCCGCCGCUGGGGUGAGACACGGGGCACACGCGUGUGCAUGGGGACAUGCAUGGGGGGCACACGCGUGUGCACGGGGACAUGCACAGGGUGCACACGCGUGUGCGCAGGCAGAUUGUGGGGGCUGCACACGCGUGUGCACGGGGGCGUUUGCACAAGGGAGGUCGCACACGCGUGUGCACCAGGGAAUUGCUCAGGGUCGUGUGCACACGCGUGUGCCCGGGGGGUCACGCGGGGCUUUGCCCCCCCCCCCUCCAGCCCCAUGGCGGCUCCCUGGACCCCCCCGUUCCUGCUUGUGCUGCUGCUGCUGCCGGGGG
rnacentral:lncRNA from 1 species